GGUGUAGUACUUUAAGCUUAAAAGGAUUGAUUUGCGUUCAGGUAUUGGGAAAGUUCCCCUAUGCCA
rnacentral:tRNA from 1 species